CGCCGAGUUGGGUUAGGCUGGAAGCCAAAAAUGUCAGGCUCAUAACCUGAAGGUCGCAGGUUCAAAUCCUGCCCCCGCAACCA
rnacentral:tRNA from 1 species